GGGCAGGUGGCAGUAUGUGAUUCUGGAAGAGAUCAAGAUCCAUCACAACCAGGCUUUUUAUUAUCUCAUGACUCAGUUGGCAUCAGACGGUUACCCUUGUCCCUAAUCACGCUGGUCCAACUGGAAGAAGAAGCAAAUUCAUGGCUGGGUGUGUGAGGAGAGGAGUGAACAGGCUGGGAGCGAAGAGGAGGUGAGGAGGAGGAGGAGGAGAGAGAAAAUCAAACAAGGACACAAGGAACAGGUCCACAAUGAACGAGGAGGAGGAAGAAGAGUUAUUAAGUCCAUUGCAUACCCUCUGGUGAUGCAUAAAUAAGAGAAUAAGAGCAGAGAGGUAGUUGAAAAACCAAGAAUGGUAAUAUUUAACAGUGUUUUCAUCAUAUUUCUGUAAUCCUGUGGGGGUCAUUUAAACAACCCGGCAACAGUGAACACGAAGUAUGUGUUGUUUUUCCAGUGAUUAUCAACUCUUUGCUGUAAGUAUUGGAAAACUGAUUCAGCUGCAAUAUAGGUUAAUGGUACUGCUGAGCAAAGCUACUUUGUAGGCUAGCAGGAAAUUACUAACACGAACCUCAAAACAAGAUGUUAUCACUGCGGGGAGCGAGUGCAUUCUUUUCUAACUUCCUGCCGCACUACAUGAUCAAAAGCUUAGGGGCCACAGGUAUAAUCUACAUAGUAAUAGACCAUCUAUACAACAACACAUGUUUCUCUUUAUUUCUUAAUUUCAUUGGCAGUGUGGACACAGGAAGAUGAGUCACACAACAAAACAAAACAGAUCAAAAUGCUAGUUCCUGUCUCAUACUGUUGGUCAUAUGAUAACUUUCAUAUGAUUUGCUUUUCUCUUAAAUUAAGUAACUUCUUAAGUUGAGUAAUCAGUUAGUUGAUUGCAAGGUUCCAGUUUUUGAGAUGUGAAGAGUUCCUGAUGCUUUUUGUGCUGUAUUUUUGGACUGCAAGACAACAACGAUGAACUGACUGGAUAUUAGCUUUGUCUGAUUAAAUAAAAUGCUUUAUCCGUUAUUAAAUAGCAUUAUAUUUUGUAAUUAAGAUUUCAGCUUCCUUGGCACAAAAGUGGGGAAAUCAAUCACAAAAAUAACACAAAUAUAGAGAAAAUAUUGGU